rnacentral:rRNA from 1 species
GACAGAGGAUGCAAGCGUUAUCCGGAAUGAUUGGGCGUAAAGCGUCUGUAGGUGGCUUUUUAAGUCUGCCGUCAAAUCCCAGGGCUUAACCCUGGACAGGCGGUGGAAACUACCAAGCUGGAGUACGGUAGGGGCAGGGGGAAUUUCCGGUGGAGCGGUGAAAUGCGUAGAUAUCGUUUGGAACGCCAAUGGUGAAAACAGCUAGCUGGGAGUGUGCCGACGCUGAGACACGAAAGCCAGGGGAGCGAACAGG